rnacentral:rRNA from 1 species
AACGGCAGCGGGGGCUUCGGCCUGCCGGCGNGUGGCGAACGGGUGAGUANUGCAUCGNANCGUGCCCAUGUCGUGGGGGAUAACGUAUCGAAAGGUACGCUAAUACCGCAUACGUCCUGAGGGAGAAAGCGGGGGAUCUUCGGACCUCGCGCGAUUGGAGCGGCCGAUGUCGGAUUAGCUAGUAGGUGAGGUAAAGGCUCACCUAGGCGACGAUCCGUAGCGGGUCUGAGAGGAUGAUCCGCCACACUGGGACUGAGACACGGCCCANACUCCUACGGGAGGCAGCACUGGGGAAUUUUGGACAAUGGGCGCAAGCCUGAUCCAGCCAUGCCGCGUGAGUGAAGAAGGCCUUCGGGUUGUAAAGCUCUUUCGGCCGGGAAGAAAUCGUGGUCUCUAACAUAGGNCAUGGAUAACGGUACCGGACUAAGAAGCACCGGCUAACUACGUGCCA